UGCGAGCUCCUACGGGAGGCAGCAGUAGGGAAUCUUCGGCAAUGGACGGAAGUCUGACCGAGCAACGCCGCGUGAGUGAAGAAGGUUUUCGGAUCGUAAAGCUCUGUUGUAAGAGAAGAACGAGUGUGAGAGUGGAAAGUUCACACUGUGACGGUAUCUUACCAGAAAGGGACGGCUAACUACGUGCCAGCAGCCGCGGUAAUACGUAGGUCCCGAGCGUUGUCCGGAGUUAUUGGGGGUAAAGCGAGCUCAGGCGGUUAGAUAAGUCUGAAGUUAAAGGCUGUGGCUUAACCAUAGUAGGCUUUGGAAACUGUUUGACUUGAGUGCAAGAGGGGAGAGUGGAAUUCCAUGUGUAGCAGUGAAAUGCGUAGAUAUAUGGAGGAACACCGGUGGCGAAAGCGGCUCUCUGGCUUGUAACUGACGCUGAGGCUCGAAAGCGUGGGGAGCAAACAGGAUUAGAAACCCCUGUAGUCCUAUC
rnacentral:rRNA from 1 species